rnacentral:rRNA from 1 species
AAAGGGCGCGUAGGCGGAUUGGACAGUCGGGUGUGAAAUUCCUGGGCUUAACCUGGGGACUGCAUUCGAGACGUUUAGUCUUGAGUGGGGAAGAGGGUUGUGGAAUUCCCAGUGUAGAGGUGAAAUUCGUAGAUAUUGGGAAGAACACCGGUGGCGAAGGCGGCAACCUGGUCCUUGACUGACGCUGAGGCGCGAAAGCGUGGGGAGCAAACAGGAUUAGAUACCCUAGU